GACGAACGCUGGCGGCGUGCUUAACACAUGCAAGUCGAACGGUAAGGCCCUUCGGGGUACACGAGUGGCGAACGGGUGAGUAACACGUGGGUGAUCUGCCCUGCACUUCGGGAUAAGCCUGGGGAAACUGGGUCUAAUACCGGAUAGGACCCUGGGAUGCAUGUCCUGGGGUGGAAAGCUUUUGCGGUGUGGGAUGGGCCCGCGGCCCAUCAGCUUGUUGGUGGGGUGAUGGCCUACCAAGGCGACGACGGGUAGCCGGCCUGAGAGGGUGACCGGCCACACUGGGACUGAGAUACGGCCCAGACUCCUACGGGAGGCAGCAGUGGGGAAUAUUGCACAAUGGGCGCAAGCCUGAUGCAGCGACGCCGCGUGAGGGAUGACGGCCUUCGGGUUGUAAACCUCUUUCAGCGCCGACGAAGCGCAAGUGACGGUAGGUGCAGAAGAAGGACCGGCCAACUACGUGCCAGCCGCCGCGGUAA
rnacentral:rRNA from 1 species